GACGUAGGGCGCGAGCGUUGUCCGGAUUUAUUGGGCGUAAAGAGCUCGUAGGCGGCUUGUCGCGUCGACUGUGAAAACUCGGGGCUCAACUCCGAGCUUGCAGUCGAUACGGGCAGGCUAGAGUUCGGUAGGGGAGACUGGAAUUCCUGGUGUAGCGGUGAAAUGCGUAGAUAUCAAGAGGAACACCUGCGGCGAAGGCGGGUUGCUGGGCCGACACUGACGCUGAGGCGCGAAAGCCAGGGGAGCGAACGGG
rnacentral:rRNA from 1 species